GCGAUUCUUAACAUAGUCCAUGGCCAUUACAACAUCAAAGAGUCAUGAGCCAAAUGUUCUUUGACAGGAAACUGGAUCUGACAGCUCUGGACUUGGAUGUCGUGAGACCUCUAUUGGAGCAUGCUGGGGUUUUGCAUCUCUCUAGUUACUGGUUGAACUUUGUUGGUCUGGGAUGUAGCGAGUUCCUUGGAACCAGUUUGAUCCCGGUGAGCCUGCUUUUCAACACAGUUAGGAAUAACUUCUGGUAAUAGAAGACACUGCCAAUCAAAUGAUACUUAUGAGAAACUGUAGAUUUCUGCAAAGGGGGUCUUCAGACGAUGAA